rnacentral:rRNA from 1 species
GGACUACUGGGGUAUCUAAUCCCGUUCGCUCCCCUGGCUUUCGCACAUCAGCGUCAGCGACCUCCCAGGACACUGCCUUCGCCAUUGGUAUUCCUCCGGAUAUCUACGCAUUUCACCACUCCACCCGGAAUUCUAUGUCCCUCUGAGGUGCUCGAGUCCCACCGUCUUCCCGGCACUCCCGUCGGUAAGCAACGAGCUGGCACCGGAAACGCGUGGGACCGCCUGCGUGCGCUUUACGCCCAGUAACUCCGGACAACGCUUGCCCCCUACGUAUUACCGCGGCUGCUGGCAC